UUCGUAGGCGGUUUGUCGCGUCGUUUGUGAAAACCAGCAGCUCAACUGCUGGCUUGCAGGCGAUACGGGCAGACUUGAGUACUGCAGGGGAGACUGGAAUUCCUGGUGUAGCGGUGAAAUGCGCAGAUAUCAGGAGGAACACCGGUGGCGAAGGCGGGUCUCUGGGCAGUAACUGACGCUGAGGAACGAAAGCGUGGUAGCGAACA
rnacentral:rRNA from 1 species